rnacentral:rRNA from 1 species
AGCUAAGGUCCCAAAGUCAUGGUUAAGUGGGAAACGAUGUGGGAAGGCCCAGACAGCCAGGAUGUUGGCUUAGAAGCAGCCAUCAUUUAAAGAAAGCGUAAUAGCUCACUGGUCGAGUCGGCCUGCGCGGAAGAUGUAACGGGGCUAAACCAUGCACCGAAGCUGCGGCAGCGACACUGUGUGUUGUUGGGUAGGGGAGCGUUCUGUAAGCCUGUGAAGGUGUGUCGUGAGGCAUGCUGGAGGUAUCAGAAGUGCGAAUGCUGACAUAAGUAACGAUAAAGCGGGUGAAAAGCCCGCUCGCCGGAAGACCAAGGGUUCCUGUCCAACGUUAAUCGGGGCAGGGUGAGUCGACCCCUAAGGCGAGGCCGAAAGGCGUAGUCGAUGGGAAACGGGUUAAUAUUCCCGUACUUGGUGUUACUGCGAAGGGGGGACGGAGAAGGCUAUGUUGGCCGGGCGACGGUUGUCCCGGUUUAAGCGUGUAGGUGUGUGUUCCAGGUAAAUCCGGUUCACUUUAACACUGAGGCGUGACGACGAGGCACUACGGUGCUGAAGCAACAAAUGCCCUGCUUCCAGGAAAAGCCUCUAAGCAUCAGGUAACAUCAAAUCGUACCCCAAACCGACACAGGUGGUCAGGUAGAGAAUACCAAGGCGCUUGAGAGAACUCGGGUGAAGGAACUAGGCAAAAUGGUGCCGUAACUUCGGGAGAAGGCACGCUGACACGUAGGUGAAGUGAUUUACUCAUGGAGCUGAAGUCAGUCGAAGAUACCAGCUGGCUGCAACUGUUUAUUAAAAACACAGCACUGUGCAAACACGAAAGUGGACGUAUACGGUGUGACGCCUGCCCGGUGCCGGAAGGUUAAUUGAUGGGGUCAGCGCAAGCGAAGCUCCUGAUCGAAGCCCCGGUAAACGGCGGCCGUAACUAUAACGGUCCUAAGGUAGCGAAAUUCCUUGUCGGGUAAGUUCCGACCUGCACGAAUGGCGUAAUGAUGGCCAGGCUGUCUCCACCCGAGACUCAGUGAAAUUGAACUCGCUGUGAAGAUGCAGUGUACCCGCGGCAAGACGGAAAGACCCCGUGAACCUUUACUAUAGCUUGACACUGAACAUUGAGCCUUGAUGUGUAGGAUAGGUGGGAGGCUUUGAAGUGUGGACGCCAGUCUGCAUGGAGCCGACCUUGAAAUACCACCCUUUAAUGUUUGAUGUUCUAACGUGGACCCGUUACCCGGGUUGCGGACAGUGUCUGGUGGGUAGUUUGACUGGGGCGGUCUCCUCCUAAAGAGUAACGGAGGAGCACGAAGGUUGGCUAAUCCUGGUCGGACAUCAGGAGGUUAGUGCAAUGGCAUAAGCCAGCUUGACUGCGAGCGUGACGGCGCGAGCAGGUGCGAAAGCAGGUCAUAGUGAUCCGGUGGUUCUGAAUGGAAGGGCCAUCGCUCAACGGAUAAAAGGUACUCCGGGGAUAACAGGCUGAUACCGCCCAAGAGUUCAUAUCGACGGCGGUGUUUGGCACCUCGAUGUCGGCUCAUCACAUCCUGGGGCUGAAGUAGGUCCCAAGGGUAUGGCUGUUCGCCAUUUAAAGUGGUACGCGAGCUGGGUUUAGAACGUCGUGAGACAGUUCGGUCCCUAUCUGCCGUGGGCGCUGGAGAACUGAGGGGGGCUGCUCCUAGUACGAGAGGACCGGAGUGGACGCAUCACUGGUGUUCGGGUUGUCAUGCCAAUGGCACUGCCCGGUAGCUAAAUGCGGAAGAGAUAAGUGCUGAAAGCAUCUAAGCACGAAACUUGCCCCGA